UGUGGGAGCGAGCCUGCUCGCGAUGACGUCCGUUCAGUCAGUCAUGCAUUGACUGACACUCCGCCAUCGCGAGCAGGCUCGCUCACACA
rnacentral:misc_RNA from 1 species